UAUGAAAGGGUUAACGAGGAAGGUGCUGUGUCUAAAAACUUAGUUUAAACUAACUUAAAGGUGAAGAGGCCUUUAUAAGAAAGAAGGACGACAAGACCCUAUGAAGCUUUAUCUUAUUAGGGAUUUCAAAGAUCCUUAUACGAUUUUGAUGGGAGAUCAGUAAAAAUAAGUCUUUUACCAUUAUUUUUAUCUUACAAGUGUUUCCUAAUUUUAUAUGUGUGACUAGCUACUCUAGGGAUAACAGCGCAAUUUCUCCCGAAAGAUGGUAUUGGAGGGGAAGAUUGCGACCUCGAUGUUGGC
rnacentral:rRNA from 1 species